GAUGGAGAACGUAGCGAAAUGCGAUAAGUAAUGUGAAUUGCAGAAUUCAGUGAAUCAUCGAAUCUUUGAACGCACAUUGCGCCCCUUGGUAUUCCGAGGGGCAUGCCUGUUCGAGCGUCAUUAUAACCCUCAAGCUCAGCUUGGUGUUGGGGCCUGCUGCACUGGCAGCCCUUAAAAUCAGUGGCGGCGCCAUCUGGCUCUAAGCGUAGUAAUUCUUCUCGCUAUGGAGUCCUGGUGGAUGCUUGCCAUCAACCCCCAAUUUUUCUAUGGUUGACCUCGGAUCAGGUAGGGAUACCCGCUGAACUUAAGCAUAUCAAUAAGCGGAGGA
rnacentral:misc_RNA from 1 species